rnacentral:rRNA from 1 species
ACGCGCAUGAAUGGAUUAACGAGACUUCCCACCUGUCCCUGCCUACUAUCUAGCGAAACCACAGCCAAGGGAACGGGCUUGGCGGAAUCAGCGGGAAGAAGACCUGUUGAGCUUGACUCUAGUCUGACGUUGUGAAGAGACAUGAGAGGUGUAGAAUAAGUGGGAGCGCAAGCAACAGUGAAAUACCACUACUUUUAUCGUUUCUUUACUUACUCGAUGAAGCGGAAGGCGGCCGAAAUGCCACACUUCUAGAUUUAAGCAGUUGCCCUCGUGGCAAUUGCGAUCCGCUUUGACGACAGCGUCAGGCGGGGAGUUUGACUGGGGCGGUACAUCUGUCAAAAAGUAACGCAGGUGUCCUAAGGCGAGCUCAGCGAGGACAGAAACCUCGCGUAGAGCAAAAGGGCAAAUGCUCGCUUGAUUUUGAUUUUCAGUACGAAUACAGACCGUGAAAGCGCGGCCUAUCGAUCCUUUUUGAUUUUACGAGUUUUAAGCAAGAGGUGUCAGAAAAAGUUACCACAGGG